rnacentral:rRNA from 1 species
AGCGGCGGACGGGUUAGUAACGCGUGGGAAUGUAUCUUCUCUAUGGAAUAGCCUCGGGAAACUGAGAGUAAUACCAUAUACGCCCUUCGGGGGAAAGAUUUAUCGGAGAAGGAUCAGCCCGCGUAAGAUUAGAUAGUUGGUGGGGUAAUGGCCUACCAAGUCUACGAUCUUUAGCUGGUUUUAGAGGAUGAUCAGCAACACUGGGACUGAGACACGGCCCAGACUCCUACGGGAGGCAGCAGUGGGGAAUCUUAGACAAUGGGCGCAAGCCUGAUCUAGCCAUGCCGCGUGUGUGAUGAAGGCCUUAGGGUCGUAAAGCACUUUCGCCAGGGAUGAUAAUGACAGUACCUGGUAAAGAAACCCCGGCUAACUCCGUGCCAGCAGCCGCGGUAAUACGGAGGGGGUUAGCGUUGUUCUGAAUUACUGGGCGUAAAGCGCACGUAGGCGGAUCAGAAAGUUGGGGGUGAAAUCCCAGGGCUCAACCCUGGAACUGCCUCCAAAACUCCUGGUCUUGAGUUCGAGAGAGGUGAGUGGAAUUCCGAGUGUAGAGGUGAAAUUCGUAGAUAUUCGGAGGAACACCAGUGGCGAAGGCGGCUCACUGGCUCGAUACUGACGCUGAGUGCGAAAGUGUGGGGAGCAAACAGGAUUAGAUACCUGGUUAGUCCACACCGA